rnacentral:rRNA from 1 species
UACGGGGGGGGCAAGCGUUGUUCGGAAUUACUGGGCGUAAAGGGCUCGUAGGCGGCCCACUAAGUCAGCCGUGAAAUCCCUCGGCUUAACCGGGGAACUGCGUCUGAUACUGGAUGGCUUGAGUUCGGGAGAGGGAUGCGGAAUUCCAGGUGUAGCGGUGAAAUGCGUAGAUAUCUGGAGGAACACCGGUGGCGAAGGCGGCAUCCUGGACCGACACUGACGCUGAGGAGCGAAAGCCAGGGGAGCAAACGGG